rnacentral:rRNA from 1 species
UGCCUGCCCAGUGACAACUGUUUAACGGCCGCGGUAUCCUGACCGUGCAAAGGUAGCAUAAUCAUUUUGUUCUCUAAAUAAGGACUUGUAUGAANGGCCGCACGAGGGUUUUACNGUCUCUUACUNCCAAUCAGUGAAAUNGACCUUCCCGUGAAGAGGCGGGAAUGCACAAAUAAGACGAGAAGACCCUAUGGAGCUUUAACUAACCAACCCAAAGAGAAUAGAUUUAACCAUUAAGGAAUAACAACAAUCUCCAUGAGUUGGUAGUUUCGGUUGGGGUGACCUCGGAGAAUAAAAAAUCCUCCGAGCGAUUUUAAAGACUAGACCCACAAGUCAAAUCACUCUAUCGCUCAUUGAUCCAAAAACUUGAUCAACGGAACAAGUUACCCUAGGGAUAACAGCGCAAUCCUAUUCAAGAGUCCAUAUCGACAAUAGGGUUUACGACCUCGAUGUUGGAUCAGGACAUCCUGAUGGUGCAACCGCUAUCAAA